GCGGCGAUGGCGGAACUGGCAGACGCGUACGUUUGAGGGGCGUAUGGGUACACCCGUGCGGGUUCAAUUCCCGCUCGCCGCACCA
rnacentral:tRNA from 2 species